rnacentral:misc_RNA from 1 species
AAUCUUCAAAAUCCUUUUUUCUUCUUAAAGGGUUUUGGACUUGGAGGUUUAAUGCUCGCCCUUUCUUUUGAAAGUGAGCUCCUCUCAAAAGAAUUAGUGGGGUCCGCUUUGCUGAUCCUUGACGUGAUAAAAUGUUUCUACGUUUUGGGUUUAGCUCUGUCCCUUGGACGCCUGCUCCUAACCGUCUCACUGACAAUGAUGGUGCUCUGGUCACCGACCGUCUACAUCGGCGGGAGGCUGGACCCACGAAAAGAAAA